CGUAAUAUAGCUUAACAAAAGCAUCUUGUUUACACCAAGAAGAUGUUCUGCACACCGGACUAUUACGAG
rnacentral:tRNA from 1 species